GACGAACGCUGGCGGCGUGCUUAACACAUGCAAGUCGAACGGAAAGGCCCCUUUGGGGGUACUCGAGUGGCGAACGGGUGAGUAACACGUGAGUAACCUGCCCUUGACUUCGGGAUAACUUCAGGAAACUGGGGCUAAUACCGGAUAGGAAUCCUUGCUGCAUGGUGGGGGUUGGAAAGCUUCGGCGGUUUUGGAUGGACUCGCGGCUUAUCAGCUUGUUGGUGGGGUAGUGGCUUACCAAGGCUUUGACGGGUAGCCGGCCUGAGAGGGCGACCGGCCACAUUGGGACUGAGAUGCGGCCCAGACGCCUACGGGAGGCAGCAGUGGGGAAUAUUGCACAAUGGGCGGAAGCCGGAUGCAGCAACGCCGCGUGCGGGAUGACGGCCUUCGGGUUGUAAACCGCUUUCAGCAGGGGCGAAGCUUGUGGUGACGGUACCUGCAGAAGAAGCACCGGCUAACUACGUG
rnacentral:rRNA from 1 species